UACGUAGGGGGCAAGCGUUGUCCGGAUUCAUUGGGCGUAAAGAGCUCGUAGGCGGUUCAGCAAGUCGGGUGUGAAACCUCCAGGCUCGACCUGGAGACGCCACCCGAUACUGCUGUGACUUGAGUCCGGUAGGGGACCACGGAAUUCCUGGUGUAGCGGUGAAAUGCGCAGAUAUCAGGAGGAACACCGGUGGCGAAGGCGGUGGUCUGGGCCGGAACUGACGCUGAGGAGCGAAAGCGUGGGGAGCGAACAGG
rnacentral:rRNA from 1 species